GUGUAAUCACAGGAGCUGUCGUGUGUUCUGUGUAACACACGACAGUGAUGUGUAAUCACAGGAGCUGUUGUGUGUUCUGUGUGUAACACACGACAGUGAUGUGUAAUCACAGGAGCUGCUGUGUGUUCUGUGUGUAACACACGACAGUGAUGUGUAAUCACAGGAGCUGUUGUGUGUUCUGUGUGUAACACACGACAGUGAUGUGUAAUCACAGGAGCUGUCGUGUGUUCUGUGUAACACACGACAGUGAUGUGUAAUCACAGGAGCUGUUGUGUGUUCUGUGUGUAACACACGACAGUGAUGUGUAAUCACAGGAGCUGUUGUGUGUUCUGUGUGUAACACACAACAGUGAUGUGUAAUCACAGGAGCUGCUGUGUGUUCUGUGUGUAACACACAACAGUGAUGUGUAAUCACAGGAGCUGCUGUGUGUUCUGUGUGUAACACACAACAGUGAUGUGUAAUCACAGGAGCUGCUGUGUGUUCUGUGUAACACACGACAGUGAUGUGUAAUCACAGGAGCUGUCGUGUGUUCUGUCUGUUGUGUGUUCUGUGUGUAACGCCUGUCACAGGGACCUGCCUCUGCUUACAGCACAACAUAUGAAUCAUGACAUGACUUGUGUAAAUGAACCACAACACAACCACACCUCACUGAUUCCACGUCAGAAAACAAAGUGUGUGUGUGAGGUGACACUGGUGUUUGGGGUCAGAGGUCACACUGUGGUGUCUGGGGUCAGAGGUCACACUGGUGAUCACCUUGCUAAGUUAACCCGAUUUUUUGCUCCCACCAUAAAAAAAAUGAAGGAAUAAAGUUGUGUGUAA
ensembl:lncRNA